rnacentral:lncRNA from 1 species
GAGCGUUGACCCGAGUUAGCUCUCUCUGUUUUCUUCUCCGCCUACCUCCACUCUCUCCGGCACGGCGUCGCCGAUUCCGGCCACCUUUGGUCAAGAAAUUACCACCAAUCUUUUCCUCUCCUUCUCCUCUUCAAAACCCGGUCCAUGGAUCACACUUUCAUCUCGAUUCGGUGGUGAUCGAUCGAAGGAAAGCUCGACUGUGUUCUUUAAUUUCCGGCGAGCUCCGGCAGGGACGACGGCUAUGAAGGGUAUAUUCUUGUUCUCCUCACUUCCCUCUUCCUUGUUAUGUCUUUGUUUUCUUGAUUCGUGGCCAAAUCGGAGGAAGCCCUAAUUCUGUUUUUUGGGAUUUCCGGUGAGCCAUCGCCAUUAACGCCGUCAAGGCUGCUCGGUGCUCCUCUUCUUCUUUCCGACAUCGUAUCUAUCUCUGGAGACCGAGAUUAGCUAGUAUGGAAGCAAGGAGGGUUGCUGCUGCUGUGUAGGUGGAGGCCCGAAUCCAAAAAAAAUCCGGCAGAGACGCUACUGCCGACGAAGGAGGUGUGAUUUCUUGUUGGAAGGUGGUGCUGCAAGUGAUAAUCCGGCGAUGAAGACUUUCCAACAGUGGCUAAGGUGAGGGGAUUUGCUGAUGUAGCUACUGUGUUGAUGUUGUUGUGUUUGGAUUGUUAGCUGAUGUGGUUAUUUGGUUUACGUUCAUGUCGAGAACUUGGUGUUCUAGAGAUUGCGGGGAGAUCAUGGCGAAAUUCCGGCAAGUGGCCAGAAUCCGGCAGAAUAUUCCGGCAAGUCGCCGGAAUCCGACGAAGCAGCAGAUCCGGCAGAGAACCGAGAAGGUAGUUCUCGAGGUUUUUCUUCCUAGUUCAAGUCGUAGUUUCCGGUUUAGUAAAAUCUGUCAUUUUAGGAAAGUUUCUAUUUAAGGGGAUUUUCCCUUUUUGGAAACUUUUCUAUUUAUGGAAAACCCAUUUUGGGUGCCCUUAGUGAAUUAUGGUGUGAAGUUGUAUAGAGAGAAAGUGAUUGAGGAUUGUUUGGAUGAAGCAUCAAUUGUAAUUGAAUUAUUAAGAUGGUUGUUGGAAUUAAAUUGGAUGGUUAGAGUAAUCAAGGUAACCCGAUUUGUUAAGUCGAAGGUUAAAGUGGAAAUUGUCAAGGCAUCGUUAGUUGGCUAAUCAUAAAUCAAUUGGUCAAACUUGGUCAAUUCUGGUCAACUCAGUAAACCUAGUCAAACUAGGAAGAAGUCGAAUCGUUAAUGAUUAUUGGAGUCCGGUCUGACCAAUUUAUUCUUCUGUUUAUUAUCAGACGUGGGUUUUGGCUAUAGAGUGUGAAUAUUUGGAGGCAGCGUUCGAGGAGUAUUCCGAGCAUUGGAAGGCUAGGCUUAGGCGUCAUACAGUGAGUGGACCUUUGUUUUAAAUAAAAUGCAUGCUAUAGUUCAUAGAUGAACAAUUAAUGUUGUGGAGCAUUUUGACGUCAUUUUAUUUUGACGAUUUUAUUUCUCUUGGAGAGUCACCGAAAAUGGGAUUUUCGGUGGAUAUAAAUAUGUAUUUAUGAGAGAGUAUGUAUAUAAAUGCUAGCUAGCCCUAUGUGUCUGUCCACCUUAAUGGCGUAGCAUAUAGCCGCAUUAUGGUGUGACGUGAGCGUUGGACGCGAGCGUAGUAGCCCUAUAUGAGUGUCUAAUUCAUAUAGGGGGUAUGGACACAUAUUUAUACACCCGUCUGUCUACCUUAAUGGCGUAGUGUAGCACCGCAUUAAGGCGUGACGUGAGCUUUGGACGCGAGCGUAGUAGCCCUAUAUAGACCCAUGAAUUUAUAUAGGGAGUAUGGACGUGUGUAAAUACAUACAUAUAUUAGAGCCUGAGAGGCUCGAUAUUUUAUGAGAUAAAAGUUUUUAUCGCUUGCGGCAUGCAUUCGAUUUUCCUUGGAAAUUGAUUUGGGGAAACAUAAAUAUUUUAUUCGUUAAUUUAUUUUUGUCCACUCACUCUAACGUUUCGUUUUCAAAUGUUUUCCCCUGGGCUCUUCGUUUUAAAAAUGCCCAGUUUUUAGGAUUGCAUAGUUGAGGUCGGGCGUACAUGGAGAAGAG